GGUCAUGCACCACCCCUGGUGUUAUCAUGGAACAGCCCUGUUGUUCUGGCUCCAAGAUCAGAGAAUGUUCCUGUGAUUCUGUGCAUUCUAGAGAUAAGACAUUCUGCAGCUAUUGCUACUAGAAUCAUGUGACUCUUACACUACAAAGGAUAAAAUAUUUAUCAUAUAAUUCAAGGGAGCAGAGGAUUGUACCAGCUGCCGAGCAACAGAAGGUGAUAGAAGGUUUAACACAAAUAGAAUACUUGUGUAAGGACAGAAAUUCAAAGAAAAAAAAAAAAGAGCGAAUUAUAGCCC